AGUAGUUUGAUCAUGGCUCAAGGGAUAGAACGCUGGCGGCGUGCCUAACACAUGCAAGUCGAGCGAGAAACCAUCGAUUGAAACUUCGGUAGAUAUUGAAGGCGGAAAGCGGCGGACGGGUGAGUAACGCGUAGGCAACCUGCCCUUUGCAGAGGGAUAGCAACGGGAAACUGUUAAUUAAAACCUCAUAAUACCGUAAUGUCAAAUGAUGAAACGGUCAAAGAUUUAUCGGCAAAGGAUGGGCCUGCGUCUGAUUAGUUAGUUGGUAGGGUAACGGCCUACCAAGGCAGCGAUCAGUAGCCGACCUGAGAGGGUGAUCGGCCACAUUGGAACUGAGACACGGUCCAAACUCCUACGGGAGGCAGCAGUGGGGAAUAUUGCACAAUGGGCGAAAGCCUGAUGCAGCAACGCCGCGUGAAGGAUGAAGGCCUUUGGGUCGUAAACUUCUGUCCUUGGGGAAGAAAAAAAUGACGGUACCCCUGGAGGAAGUCCCGGCUAACUACGUG
rnacentral:rRNA from 1 species